CAGCAGCCGCGGUAAUACGUAGGGUGCAAGCGUUAUCCGGAAUUAUUGGGCGUAAAGAGCUCGUAGGCGGUUUGUCGCGUCUGCUGUGAAAACUGGAGGCUCAACCUCCAGCCUGCAGUGGGUACGGGCAGACUAGAGUGCGGUAGGGGAGAUUGGAAUUCCUGGUGUAGCGGUGGAAUGCGCAGAUAUCAGGAGGAACACCGAUGGCGAAGGCAGAUCUCUGGGCCGUAACUGACGCUGAGGAGCGAAAGCAUGGGGAGCGAACAGGAUUAGAUACCCGAGUAGUCCCUGUCUCUUAUAC
rnacentral:rRNA from 1 species